UACCAGCACCCCGAGUGGUCGGGACGAUUAUUGGGCCUAAAGCAUCCGUAGCCGGUUUUACAAGUCCUCCGUUAAAUCCAACUGCUUAACAGAUGGGCUGCGGAGGAUACUAUAAGACUAGGAGGCAGGAGAGGCAAGCGGUACUCAGUGGGUAGGGGUAAAAUCCGUUGAUCCAUUGAAGACCGCCAGUGGCGAAGGCGGCUUGCCAGAAUGCGCUCGACGGUGAGGGAUGAAAGCUGGGGGAGCAAACCGG
rnacentral:rRNA from 1 species